rnacentral:rRNA from 1 species
UACGUAGGGUGCGAGCGUUAAUCGGAAUUACUGGGCGUAAAGUGUGCGCAGGCGGCAGAGCAAGUCGAGUGUGAAAGCCCCGGGCUUAACUUGGGAAUUGCGCUCGAAACUACUUUGCUGGAGUGUGGCAGAGGAAGGUGGAAUUCCACGUGUAGCGGUGAAAUGCGCAGAUAUUAGGAGGAACACCGGUGGCGAAGGCGCCACUCUGGGCCGAAACUGACGCUGAGGAGCGAAAGCAUGGGUAGCAAACAGG